AAAGAUUUAAAAAUGAUACCUCCGUAUGGGGCACUGAACAUGAAUGGGGCUUGCAGGACUGGAAGUUGUUCUGGGGCAAUACCAUAUUCCAGUUCCUGUCAGCUCUCUGAGACAAGUGAGACUGAAGACAGUCUUUCAGCAGGCCUACACUGGAGACACUAAAAACAAAAUGCAACAUAGCUGGAUAUAGUGGCACAUGCCUGUAGUGUCAGC